GCUUACGCAUGGGAUAGCCUCUACGAGCUUAUGCGUAGGAUAGCCUCCACGGGCUUACGCGUGGGAUAGCUGCCACGAGCUUAUGCGUGGGAUUUGUGCAGUCUUGGACUGGGUCAUGAACUUGGUUAGUCCAAAGCCAGAAGUGAAAAGUCUGAAAACUUGAGAAUCAGAGUAAUACGGGAAUGGAUCACAUAAUGUGAAAAAGGAUUUGUGUAUAUGUACUGAUUAUAUACACUUGUUGUUUGUUGAGCUUUUGAAAAGAUGAAAUGGCAUUUAUUUGAUGUUUUGAUUAUUUUAUUAUUAUUACUGUGUAUGGCUGUUGGGAUUCUUACUGGGCUGG
rnacentral:lncRNA from 1 species